rnacentral:lncRNA from 1 species
AGGCCCCGAGCGGGCGCAUGUACGCGACCCAGACUGAGGAGGCGGCGACAGCCGAGAAUGUGGUCGCAGGUAUCAUUUUACUUCAUGGUAUUCGAGCUAGAGCUUUGUUUGAUACCGGUGCAUCGCAUUCAUUCAUUGAUCGGCUGUUUGCCGAGCUGCAUGGCAUCCCACUUGUAUCUUUGCUACAUCCGGGCCGAGUUGUUGUACCCGAUCAUUC